GGAUGUUGCUCUGGGGUAGAGCACUUGCCUAUUAUGCAUCAGGCCCUGGGUUUAAUCCCCAGUGCCUGUCCA
rnacentral:tRNA from 1 species